GGGGAGUUCGCAUAGCGGCAAUUGCAAGGGACUGUAAAUCCCUCCUCUUUUGAGUUCAUAGGUUCGAGUCCUAUACUCCCCA
rnacentral:tRNA from 1 species